UUGCACGCUAGCGGGAUGCUUUACACCUGCCAGUCGAACGGCAGCGCGGACUUCGGUCUGGCGGCGAGUGGCGAACGGGUGAGUAAUGUAUCGGAACGUGCCCAGUAGCGGGGGAUAACUACGCGAAAGCGUAGCUAAUACCGCAUACGCCCUACGGGGGAAAGCAGGGGAUCGUAAGACCUUGCACUAUUGGAGCGGCCGAUAUCGGAUUAGCUAGUUGGUGAGGUAACGGCUCACCAAGGCGACGAUCCGUAGCUGGUUUGAGAGGACGACCAGCCACACUGGGACUGAGACACGGCCCAGACUCCUACGGGAGGCAGCAGUGGGGAAUUUUGGACAAUGGGGGCAACCCUGAUCCAGCCAUCCCGCGUGUGCGAUGAAGGCCUUCGGGUUGUAAAGCACUUUUGGCAGGAAAGAAACGUCGCGGGCUAAUACCCCGUGGAACUGACGGUACCUGCAGAAUAAGCACCGGCUAACUACGUG
rnacentral:rRNA from 1 species